GACGAACGCUGGCGGCGUGCUUAACACAUGCAAGUCGAACGGAAAGGCCCUGCUUUUGUGGGGUGCUCGAUUGGCGAACGGGUGAGUAACACGUGAGUAACCUGCCCUUGACUUUGGGAUAACUUCAGGAAACUGGGGCUAAUACCGGAUAGGAGCUCCUGCUGCAUGGUGGGGGUUGGAACGUUUCGGCUGUUGGGGAUGGACUCGCGGCUUAUCAGCUUGUUGGUGGGGUAGUUGCUUACCAAGGCUUUGACGGGUAGCCGGCCUGAGAGGGUGACCGGCCACAUUGGGACUGAGAUACGGACCAGACUCCUACGGGAGGCAGCAGUGGGGAAUCUUGCCCAAUGGGAGGAAGCCUGAUGCAGAAACGCCGCGUGCGGGAUGCCGGCCUUCGGGUUGUAAACCGCUUUCGCCUGUGACGAAGCGUGAGUGACGGUAAUGGGUAAAGAAGCACCGGCUAACUACGUG
rnacentral:rRNA from 1 species